CCUACGGGUGGCAGCAGUGAGGAAUAUUGGUCAAUGGCCGUAAGGCUGAACCAGCCAAGUCGCGUGAAGGAAGAAGGAUCUAUGGUUUGUAAACUUCUUUUAUAGGGGAAUAAAGGAAUACAAGUGUGGAGAUUUGCAUAUACAAUAUAAAUAAGAAUCGUCUAAAUACGUGCCAGCAGCCGAGGUAAUACGAAGGAACCAAGCGUUAUACGGAUUUAUUGGGUUUAAAGGGUGCGUAGGUUGUUUUUUAAGUCAGCGGUGAAAGUUUGUGGCUCAACCAUCACAUUGCCGUUGAAAAUGGAAGACUUGAGUGUGUUUGAGGCAGGCGGAAUGCGUCGUGUAGCGGUGAAAUGCAUAGAUAUCACGCAGAACUCCGAUUGCGAAGGCAGCUUACUACGCCAUAACUGACACUGAAGCACGAAAGCGUGGGGAUCAAACAGGAUUAGAUACCCCGGUAGUC
rnacentral:rRNA from 1 species